rnacentral:rRNA from 1 species
GACGAACGCUGGCGGCGUGCUUAACACAUGCAAGUCGAACGGAAAGGCCCUGCUUGCAGGGUGCUCGAGUGGCGAACGGGUGAGUAACACGUGGGUGAUCUGCCCCUUACUUUGGGAUAAGCCUGGGAAACUGGGUCUAAUACUGGAUAGGACCAUGCUGUAGGUGGUGUGGUGGAAAGAUUAGUUUCGGUAAGGGAUGAGCUCGCGGCCUAUCAGCUUGUUGGUGGGGUAAUGGCCUACCAAGGCGUCGACGGGUAGCCGGCCUGAGAGGGUGGACGGCCACAUUGGGACUGAGAUACGGCCCAGACUCCUACGGGAGGCAGCAGUGGGGAAUAGUGCACAAUGGGCGCAAGCCUGAUGCAGCGACGCCGCGUGGGGGAUGACGGCCUUCGGGUUGUAAACCCCUUUCAGCCAUGACGAAGCCCUUGUGGUGACGGUAGUGGUAGAAGAAGCACCGGCUAACUACGUG